rnacentral:rRNA from 1 species
UCAGGAAUCUUCCGCAAUGGACGAAAGUCUGACGGAGCAACGCCGCGUGCAGGAUGACGGCCUUCGGGUUGUAAACUGCUUUUAUUUGGGAAGAUUAUGACGGUACCAAAUGAAUAAGGACCGGCUAACUACGUGCCAGCAGCCGCGGUAAUACGUAGGGUCCAAGCGUUAUCCGGAAUUACUGGGCGUAAAGCGUGCGUAGGCGGAUGUUUAAGUGUAAUGCGAAAUCCUGUGGCUCAACCAUACGGACUGUAUUGCAUACUGGAUAUCUAGAGGAUAUGAGAGGCAAGUGGAAUUACCGGUGUAGCAGUGAAAUGCGUAGAGAUCGGUAGGAACACCAAUGGCGAAGGCAGCUUGCUGGCAUAUUUCUGACGCUAAGGCACGAAAGCGUGGGGAGCGAACAGGAUUAGAUACCCGGGUAGUCC